GAUGAACGCUGGCGGCGUGCUUAACACAUGCAAGUCGAACGAAGCAACUUUUGAGCUUGCUCGAAAGUUGACUGAGUGGCGGACGGGUGAGUAACGCGUGGGUAACCUGCCUUACACAGGGGGAUAACAGUUGGAAACGACUGCUAAUACCGCAUAAAAUUCUGAAAGGGCAUCCUUUCAGAAUCAAAGUUUUUUCGGUGUAAGAUGGGCCCGCGUCUGAUUAGCUAGUUGGUGGGGUAACGGCCUACCAAGGCGACGAUCAGUAGCCGGCUUGAGAGAGUGAACGGCCACAUUGGGACUGAGGCACGGCCCCAACGCCUACGGGAGGCAGCAGUGGGGAAUUUUGGACAAUGGGGGCAACCCUGAUCCAGCCAUGCCGCGUGAGUGAAGAAGGCCUUCGGGUUGUAAAGCUCUUUCGGCCGGGAAGAAAUCGCACGGGCUAAUACCCUGUGUGGAUGACGGUACCGGAAUAAGAAGCACCGGCUAACUACGUGCCAGCAGCCGCUGUAACAC
rnacentral:rRNA from 1 species